rnacentral:rRNA from 1 species
GUCUGUUUGAAGGUAUAAAAAGUUUAACCUGCCCACUGAUAAAUUUUUUAAAGGGCCGCGGUAUUCUGACUGUGCAAAGGUAGCAUAAUCGUUAGUUUUUUAAUUGGAAUCUUGUAUGAAUGGUUUGACAAAAGAAAAUCUGUCUUUAUAAUUAUUUAUUGAAUUUAACUUUUAAGUGAAAAGGCUUAAAUAAAUUAAAAAGACGAUAAGACCCUAUAAAGCUUAAUAUUAAAUUUUUAUUUAAUUAAAUUUUAAAUUAUAAUAAAGAUUUGGUAAAUAAAUUUUAUUUUGUUGGGGUGAUAAUGGUAAAAUGAUUAUUAACUGUUAAUUUUUUUAGACAAAAAUAAAUGAAUAAAUAAUUUGUUGUAAAGGAUCCUGUAUUAAAGAUUAAAAGUUUAAGUUACUUUAGGGAUAACAGCGUUAUUUUUUUUGAGAGUUCUUAUCGAGAAAAAAGUUUGCGACCUCGAUGUUGAAUUAAAAUAUCUAUAUAAUUGUAGCAGUUAUAUAAGAAGGUCUGUUCGACCUUUAAAAUUUUACAUGAUUUGAGUUCAGACCGGCGUAAGCCAGGUCGGUUUCUAUCUUUUAAUAUUUAAA